rnacentral:rRNA from 1 species
UGGGGAAUAUUGGACAAUGGGCGAAAGCCUGAUCCAGCCAUGCCGCGUGUGUGAAGAAGGUCUUCGGAUUGUAAAGCACUUUAAGUUGGGAGGAAGGGCAGUGAGCUAAUACCUUGCUGUUUUGACGUUACCGACAGAAUAAGCACCGGCUAACUCUGUGCCAG